rnacentral:lncRNA from 1 species
UUGGCCAUAAUAAUGCUCUGACAUGUCUCUUUCCUAUUUUUAGGCAACAUUUCCUCACACAUCAUUCGUCUCUCAGUAUGGAAAUAUCUAGGAAAAUAUUAGAAGGAUGAUUUGCCCCCUCUAGGCAAAAAGGGAGAAAAACUUAAGAACCAAUGACAACUUCCAUGUGAGGAGAACCCAAAAUGUGACAAAUCCUGUCAACUCUAUGACAUAGUACUGGAGGCCUGUCAGCUCACUUUCAGUGUGCUAUUAAAGGAUUAGUUGCAUAGCAUCCUCAUGCAAAUUCCAGCUGUGUGUCCUGAAAUCCAGGGAAAAGACCCAGUGAUAUCAUGAUGGAGGACAACAACAUCUCACACCCCGCCUUCCUCAGUGUUGGAGCAAGGAUUUGACAUUCUCCUCAUUUUCUACUUUCAGUUAAUUUUAUAUUCUCUCAUCAGAAAGAGAUCCAGAAGUAGAAAAGGAAAUCAUACUUGAAGUUCUACCUCCACGUCACC